rnacentral:rRNA from 1 species
UACGUAGGGUGCAAGCGUUAAUCGGAAUUACUGGGCGUAAAGCGUGCGCAGGCGGUCUUUUAAGUCAGAUGUGAAAUCCCCGGGCUUAACCUGGGAACUGCGUUUGAAACUGGAAGGCUUGAGUGUGGCAGAGGGGGGUGGAAUUCCACGUGUAGCAGUGAAAUGCGUAGAUAUGUGGAGGAACACCGAUGGCGAAGGCAGCCCCCUGGGCUAACACUGACGCUCAUGCACGAAAGCGUGGGGAGCAAACAGG